GCAAGACAGAACUGGUUGAUCACCCCUACUACAAUUUGAAAACUUACAUUUGCAGAUGACAAACUGCUUUGAGCAACCCCAAGAAUAAAUACAAAAAGUUACUGAAAGGGAAAUCGAAUUGAGGCUGUUAAUGAAUAGACAAUAUUACUUCCUCUCUAGCUGCUAGCUAGCCAAGUGGCUGGGGGAGCUGUUGAACAUACUGUGCCACAUGUAUGCUCUAGAAAGUACCAUCUCAAGCUCUUGGUGCGUCCAGUUGUGAGUUGGAAGGUGUUGAAGAAACAUCACCAACUCUUGGAAAUCAAGUUUCUGAAGCUUAUCUGACCACGUCAAAAGAAAACUGGUGUAUAUGUACACAAGGAAAUCUGGUAAUGCAUCUCCUUCAGCCAGGUAUGUAUCCCACAGGCGGGUAACAAGAUGAAAAGGGAUCUCGCGUAUUAAAAGACAAUUGAACCAGCGAAAAGCAAAUUGAAGAAAUUCAAGCCCUUGCUCUUCCAUGUGCCUUGAAACAGGUUCAUCAAUCCGACUAACCAAUUCCUUCAACUUAAACACAAGUCUCUGUAUCCCAGGUUGAGCAAAAGUGUAGUGGUCUUGCAUGCCAUCUAGCAAUUUCGACAGGCACCAAUAACAAUCAGCCUCUAUGUCAGACAUUUUAUCUGGAGGUAGAUCAGAUAUGGACCAGUUAUCGAUGUCUCCUUCUAAGUAUUCAGACAAGAAAACAACCAGAAAGGGCGUAGCAAGAUCAUUUAUUCCCUGAACAUAUCCACUUGCAGGAUGUCGAAUUGCCCAUGUAUAAAGAAUGCGCUCCAAGGAUUUCUGAACCUGUUCUUGUUGGAAGAAAGUGACAUCCGGUACAGUUCUUGGACAAUCAACAGAAAUCUGGCGAAGCAUGUUAAUCUCAUCAUCUGAACGUUCAGUAUCUGGAAUGUCAUAAAACUGAGCCACACAAUCAAGAUACUCGAGCCGCUUCCUUCUCAAAACCCCCUCCCUUCUAUCUGAAUUAGGUGGUGCAUAUCCCAAGAGAAGCCUCCAAAUGUUGGGGCGCAUAUAUGGUGGCACACCACUCCAAGCUAACUCACGCAAUCUCUCUAAUAUAAC
rnacentral:misc_RNA from 1 species